rnacentral:rRNA from 1 species
AUGCACCGAACGUGCGGGGUAGGGGAGCGUUCUGUAAGCCGUUGAAGGU